AACCUGCGGAGGAUCAUUAAUGUAAAGGGGUGUUGACGGACAUCCACCCCUUUUGUGAAACAAAACUUGUUGCUUUCGGGGGGGACCCCUGCCGACGACUUUGUCUCCGGGGCGCCCCCGGAGGUCUUCUAAACACUGCAUCUUGGGUCGGAGUUUAAAACAAAUUAAACAAAACUUUCAACAACGGGAUCUCUUGGUUCUGGCAUCGAUGAAGAACGCAGCGAAAUGCGAUAAGUAAUGUGAAUUGCAGAAUUCAGUGAAUCAUCGAAUCUUUGAACGCACAUUGCGCCCUUUGGUAUUCCGAAGGGCAUGCCUGUUCGAGCGUCAUUUCACCACUCAAGCCUGGCUUGGUAUUGGGCGUCGCGGUGUUUCCGCGCGCCUUAAAGUCUUCCGGCUGAGCUGUCCGUCUCUAAGCGUUGUGGAUUUUUCAAUUCGCUUCGAAGUGCGGGCGGCCGCGGCCGUUAAAUCUUUAGGCAAAGCUUAUCAUCGGAUCAGGUAGGGAUA
rnacentral:rRNA from 1 species